UACAGAGGGGGCAAGCGUUGUCCGGAAUUACUGGGCGUACAGCGCGCGCAGGCGGUUGUUCACGUGCCGUGUGACAAACGGGGGCUUAACCCCCGCGGGCCAUGGUAGACGGGACGACUGGAGGCAGGGAGAGGGAUGUGGAAUGCCCGGUGGAGCGGUGAAAUGCGUAGAGAUCGGGCGGAACACCAGCGGCGAAGGCGGCUCACUGGACCGGUACUGACGCUGAUGCGCGAAAGCGUGGGGAGCAAACAGG
rnacentral:rRNA from 1 species